UGGAUCUCGAGAGAGAGGCCAUGGAGAUUGGUGUACGUUACGAUUUGUGGAAACACAUGGAGGUAGAUUUCGCAUCUACAAAGGAGAAGUGCAGGGAAAUUGUUUUUGCGGUGAAAGGCAGCGGAUUCGUGCCCUUGGUAAUUUGGUUCAAGACUAUCUCUAGCUUGACUACCAGUUUAAGGUUGUCCGAGGAAUUUACUCCGAGAACCUCUGUGGGUUUUCUUGCAGCUGUGUUGGAGGGAUGGGUGCUUUGGUAAAAGGGAGAUGUAAGGAUAGAGUUUGUGCUGUAAUGUAAUUGAUUUGAUGACAUUGUCCGUUGAUGUCUUCAACGUGAACGUCCUUUUUAUGCUCAAGUUCAAUCCUUCAUCUCGACCAAUAAAAGACAGCUGGGAUGAAAGUAUGAAAGUGAUCCUCUUUUCUAAAAUUGAUACGUGUGAUUUUUUCUCUGUUAAUGUGAUGGUGUUGCGUGACAAGCAACUUGGCCCGCAUGACGAUGCAAUAAUAUGAAUACAUUAUAUUAUUGUUGUAGUUGAUGUUGUUGUUACUAUUUUAUUAUUUUAUAGAAAGGACUUGAAUUGGUUGAUUUAAGUUUUUUUUAUUUUUUUAUUAA